AACGAACGCUGGCGGCAGGCCUAACACAUGCAAGUCGAGCGCACCUUCGGGUGAGCGGCGGACGGGUUAGUAACGCGUGGGAAUAUGCCCUUCACUACGGAAUAGCCUCGGGAAACUGAGAGUAAUACCGUAUACGCCCUUCGGGGGAAAGAUUUAUCGGUGAAGGAUUAGCCCGCGUCUGAUUAGAUAGUUGGUGGGGUAACGGCCUACCAAGUCUACGAUCAGUAGCUGGUUUGAGAGGAUGAUCAGCAACACUGGGACUGAGACACGGCCCAGACUCCUACGGGAGGCAGCAGUGGGGAAUCUUAGACAAUGGGCGCAAGCCUGAUCUAGCCAUGCCGCGUGAGUGACGAAGGCCUUAGGGUCGUAAAGCUCUUUCGCCAGAGAUGAUAAUGACAGUAUCUGGUAAAGAAACCCCGGCUAACUCCGUGCCAGCAGCCGCGGUAAUACGGAGGGGGUUAGCGUUGUUCGGAAUUACUGGGCGUAAAGCGUACGUAGGCGGGUUGGAAAGUUGGGGGUGAAAUCCCGGGGCUCAACCCCGGAACUGCCUCCAAAACUAUCAGUCUAGAGUUCGAGAGAGGUGAGUGGAAUUCCAAGUGUAGAGGUGAAAUUCGUAGAUAUUUGGAGGAACACCAGUGGCGAAGGCGGCUCACUGGCUCGAUACUGACGCUGAGGUACGAAAGUGUGGGGAGCAAACAGGAUUAGAUACCCUGGUAGUCCACACCGUAAACGAUGAAUGCCAGACGUCGGGGGGCUUGCCCUUCGGUGUCACACCUAACGGAUUAAGCAUUCCGCCUGGGGAGUACGGUCGCAAGAUUA
rnacentral:rRNA from 1 species